AUAUUUGAGCCGGGGUGGUCGGGAUGUUCCGUUGGAAUGUACCCGAUCUGAGAACAGACCCGAAGAACCUGAUCCGGAUAAUCCCGGCGGAGGGAGACACAUGAAUACCUGUC
rnacentral:ncRNA from 2 species